UGGGGAAUAUUGGACAAUGGGCGAAAGCCUGAUCCAGCCAUGCCGCGUGUGUGAAGAAGGUCUUCGGAUUGUAAAGCACUUUAAGUUGGGAGGAAGGGCAGUAAGCGAAUACCUUGCUGCUUUGACGUUACUCGCAGACUAAGCACCGGCUAACUCUGUGCCAGCAGCCGCGGUAAUACAGAGGGUGCGAGCGUUAAUCGGAUUUACUGGGCGUAAAGCGUGCGUAGGCGGCUAAUUGAGUCGGAUGUGAAAUCCCCGAGCUUAACUUGGGAAUUGCAUUCGCUACUGGUUAGCUAGAGUGAGGGAGAGGAUGGUAGGAUUCCAAGUGUAGCAGUGAAAUGCGUAGAGAUCUGGAGGAAUACCGAUGGCGAAGGCAGCCAUCUGGCCUAACACAGACGCUGAGGUACGAAAGCAUGGGGAGCAAACAGG
rnacentral:rRNA from 1 species